rnacentral:rRNA from 1 species
AAUGGGGGAAACCCUGACGCAGCAACGCCGCGUGGGUGAUGAAGGCCUUCGGGUCGUAAAGCUCUGUCCUCAAGGAAGAUAAUGACGGUACUUGAGGAGGAAGCCCCGGCUAACUACGUGCCAGCAGCCGCGGUAAUACGUAGGGGGCUAGCGUUAUCCGGAAUUACUGGGCGUAAAGGGUGCGUAGGUGGUUUCUUAAGUCAGAAGUGAAAGGCUACGGCUCAACCGUAGUAAGCUUUUGAAACUAAGAGACUUGAGUGCAGGAGAGGAGAGUAGAAUUCCUAGUGUAGCGGUGAAAUGCGUAGAUAUUAGGAGGAAUACCAGUUGCGAAGGCGGUUCUCUGGACUGUAACUGACACUGAGGCACGAAAGCGUGGGGAGCAAA